UUUCCGUAGGUGAACCUGCGGAAGGAUCAUUAAUGAGUUGUCAUGGGGUUCGAUGCUGGCAGCCAAUUUUUGGAUGCAUGUGCUUGCCCUAACAAUCAUCUUCCAAACACCUGUGCACAUUUUUGAGGGAGUCUUGAGUUGGUUGCCGCUCUUGGGUGAUUUUCUCACAUUCCCUUAAAUCAUUAUACGGUAUUAACAAUGUUGAACGUGCUCUGUGCCGCAAGGCUAUUAAUAUAAUACAACUUUUAACAACGGAUCUCUUGGCUCUC
rnacentral:misc_RNA from 1 species